rnacentral:rRNA from 1 species
AACGAACGCUGGCGGCAGGCUUAACACAUGCAAGUCGAACGCCCCGCAAGGGGAGUGGCAGACGGGUGAGUAACGCGUGGGAAUCUACCCAAUUCUACGGAACAACAGUUGGAAACGACUGCUAAUACCGUAUACGCCCUACGGGGGAAAGAUUUAUCGGAAUUGGAUGAGCCCGCGUUGGAUUAGCUAGUUGGUGGGGUAAAGGCCUACCAAGGCGACGAUCCAUAGCUGGUCUGAGAGGAUGAUCAGCCACAUUGGGACUGAGACACGGCCCAAACUCCUACGGGAGGCAGCAGUGGGGAAUAUUGGACAAUGGGCGCAAGCCUGAUCCAGCCAUGCCGCGUGAGUGAUGAAGGUCUUAGGAUUGUAAAGCUCUUUCACCGGAGAAGAUAAUGACGGUAUCCGGAGAAGAAGCCCCGGCUAACUUCGUGC